CAGGCCUAACACAUGCAAGUCGAGCGGAGGAAGCAGCAAUGUUUCUUCAGCGGCGGACGGGUGAGUAACACGUGGGUAACCUGCCUCGAAAUGGGGGAUAGCCUUCCGAAAGGAAGAUUAAUACCGCAUAACCUCGGAUCUCCGCAUGGAGGACCGAGAAAAGGAGAAAUCCGUUUCGAGAUGGACCCGCGGCGCAUUAGCUAGUUGGUGAGGUAACGGCCCACCAAGGCGACGAUGCGUAGCCGACCUGAGAGGGUGAUCGGCCACAUUGGAACUGAGACACGGUCCAGACUCCUACGGGAGGCAGCAGUGGGGAAUAUUGCACAAUGGGCGAAAGCCUGAUGCAGCAACGCCGCGUGAGUGAUGAAGGCCUUCGGGUCGUAAAGCUCUUUGAUCAGGGACGUAAUGACGGUACCUGAAAAACAAGCCACGGCUAACUACGUGCCAGCAGCCGCGGUAAUACGUAGGUGGCAAGCGUUGUCCGGAUUUACUGGGCGUAAAGAAUGCGUAGGUGGAUAUUUAAGUGGGAUGUGAAAUCCCCGGGCUCAACCCGGGAACUGCAUUCCAAACUGGAUAUCUGGAGUGCAGGAGAGGAAAGCGGAAUUCCUAGUGUAGCGGUGAAAUGCGUAGAUAUUAGGAGGAACACCAGUGGCGAAGGCGGCUUUCUGGACUGUAACUGACACUGAGGCAUGAAAGCGUGGGGAGCAAACAGGAUUAGAUACCCUGGUAGUCCACGCCGUAAACUAUGGGUACUAGGUGUAGGGGGUAUCGACUCCCCCUGUGCCGUCGUUAACACAAUAAGUACCCCGCCUGGGGAGUACGGUCGUAAGACUAAAACUCAAAGGAAUUGACGG
rnacentral:rRNA from 1 species